GAUGAACGCUGGCGGCGUGCCUAAUACAUGCAAGUCGAGCGAAAGGACGAGAAGCUUGCUUCUCUGAUGUUAGCGGCGGACGGGUGAGUAACACGUGGAUAACCUACCUAUAAGACUGGUAUAACUUCGGGAAACCGGAGCUAAUACCGGAUAAUAUCUUGAACCGCAGGGUGCAAAAGUGAAAUACGGUCUUGCGGGAACGUAUAGCGGGAUCCCAGCUGCAUUAGCUAGUUGGUAAGGUAACGGCUUACCAAGGCAACGAGGCAUAGCCGAACUGAGAGAGUGAUAGCCCACACUGGAGGUGAGACACGGUCCAGACUCCUACGGGAGGCAGCAGAAGGGUAUCGGACGCAAUAGGCGGGAAUCUGGCAGAGCGGCGCGGCGCGAGUGAUGACGGCCUCGGGUUCGUAAUACUCUGUUACUAGGGAAGAACAUCUGUGUAAGUAACUGUGCACAGCUUGACGGUACUUAAUAAGAAAGCAACGGCUAACUACGUG
rnacentral:rRNA from 1 species